GGCCUCACCUCUAGGUCUUCUAAAGGACGGAUGGGAAAAUGACUGGGACGAUUAGUAAUAGAACAUUCAAGAGAAGAAAAAAAGUGUUGUGUUACAAGAGGUACAUACACCACGGAAGAGCUGAACGUGUGAACUUUUUUUGUAUUUAAAUCUACAGUUUUUUUGGUCUUUGCAAACUUGAAUAUUCUUUCUCUUAGCACAUUCUUUUGACAGUAGUUAUUGGGUGACCUACUACAAUAUGUUGUUCCAUAUGUAUUUUCCUU
rnacentral:misc_RNA from 1 species